AAGACGCAGUAAUUUUACAAUUGUUGCCUUUAGCUCUGAAAGCUGCUGAUAAAAAAGUACGUAAGUCGACUCCAAAGCGCAAAAAAAUUGAUACACCCGAUAAAGAAAAUUAAAUAAAUUUUGAAGAUUUUUUUUUAUUGGUGAAGGUUGUAGCUGAUGUUGACAAACGUAUUGGAGAAAAACGAGCUUACUAUC